rnacentral:rRNA from 1 species
UACGAAGGGUGCAAGCGUUACUCGGAAUUACUGGGCGUAAAGCGUGCGUAGGUGGUUCGUUAAGUCUGCCGUGAAAGCCCCGGGCUCAACCUGGGAAUGGCGGUGGAUACUGGCGGACUAGAGUGCGGUAGAGGGUGGUGGAAUUCCCGGUGUAGCAGUGAAAUGCGUAGAUAUCAGAAGGAACAUCAGUGGCGAAAGCGACUUCCUGGGCCAGAACUGACGAUCAGGCACGAAAGCGUGGGGAGCAAACAGG